GAUGAACGCUGGCGGCGUGCCUAAUACAUGCAAGUCGAGCGAACAGACGAUUAGCUUGCUCCUCUUUCGUUAGCUGCGCACGGGCGAGUAACACUUGGAUAACCUACCUAUAAGACUGGGAUAACUUCGGGAAACCGGAGCUAAUACCGGAUAAUAUAUUGAACCGCAUGGUUCAAUAGUGAAAGACGGUUUUGCUGUCACUUAUAGAUGGAUCCGCGCCGCAUUAGCUAGUUGGUAAGGUAACGGCUUACCAAGGCAACGAUGCGUAGCCGACCUGAGAGGGUGAUCGGCCACACUGGAACUGAGACACGGUCAAGACUCCUACGGGAGGCAGCAGUAGGGAAGAGUACGCAAUGGGCGAAAGCCUGACGGAGCAACGCCGCGUGAGUGAUGAAGGUCUUCGGAUCGUAAAACUCUGUUAUUAGGGAAGAACAGAUGUGUAAGUAAAUAUGCACGUCUUGACGGUAACUAAUCAGAAAGCCACGGCUAACUACGUG
rnacentral:rRNA from 1 species